rnacentral:misc_RNA from 1 species
CUGCUGCCCGUCUGCGACUGGUACUGGCCGCCAGUGCUCUGUGUCGCCCUUCCCUGUGUCGACUGUCCUCUGUGUCGGUCUGCCACACCAUGGCACCAUCCGGCGUCUCCGUUCCGCUGGUGCUGGUGCUGUUGUUGGUGCUGGUGCUGGUGUCAGCGCCGGCAGCGGCGCAGCGCUGUAACCGAGAGCCCCCCGACCGGAACACGGCUAAAACGGCCGGAGGGGGCGGCUUCCGGAUUAAGUUCAGCGGCGGGGUCGACACGUACACACCGGGAACAAUCUACACUGUGAAGCUGAUGGGCUGGAGGACGCAGUACCUCGCGGAGAAGUUCACCGCCUUCAGUCUGGUGGCGGAGAACUCGCGGACAGGCGGCUCCUCGGUGCGAGACGCCGGCUCUUUCCAGGUGUUCGGCUUCGGGCUGGCCAAGUUCGACCCCAACUGUCCCAACAUGGUCACCCAGACGUCCACCGUUCCCAAGACCGAGGCCGAGGUGCUCUGGAUGGCACCGCGGGCCGGUGCCGGCUGCGUCACCUUCAAGGCCGUCGUGGUCCGCUCCCGCUACGUGUGGUAUAUGGAUGACGAGGGACUGACGAAGGAAUUGUGCGAGGAGGGCUCCAGUCACCGACCGCCGCGGCAGCACCAGCAACAGGAACAGAGCCACCAGCAGCAGCAACAACAGGCCGAAGGCACCUGCUGCGCCUGUGACGAGGCCAAAUACGAGCUUCGCUUCGACGGCCUGUGGUCGCGCGAGUCCCACCCGAAGGACUUUCCGCGCAACGAGUGGCUAACUCACUUCAGCGACGUUCUGGUGGCGAGUCACGUGCCUGAUGUCAGCAUGUGGCAGGAGGGGGAGCCAGCCUCGGACGGGCUCAAACAGGUGGCCGAGUACGGCUACACCAGGAAACUCGAACAGGAGAUGAAGGUCAAGGGGCGAGCGUUGCGGACCCUGACUCGAGCCAAGGGUCUGUGGCAUCCGAACGUCCAGGGCACUACCGCUGUCGACUUCAAGGUGGACAAGAAGCGUCAUCACUUUUCUGCAGUCACCAUGCUAGGGCCGUCCCCGGACUGGAUUUUGGGGGUGUCGGGUCUGAACCUCUGCCUCAAGAACUGCUCCUGGAUGGAGGAGAAGGUCAUCGACCUCGGACUGUAUGACGCCGGAACCGACAGCGGCAUCAGCUACGAGUCUCCGAACGCUCCUGAGGCGGAGCGGCAGCCGGUUCGCGCCAUCACCGCUGAGUGGCCUGCCGACCCGCGCGCGCCCUUCUUUGGCGCGCCGGCGGCACCCGUGGCGCGCAUCACCCUGACCCGGACCCGGGUCAUCCCCCGCAGCUGCGACCAUCAGCCGGACGUGGGACGGCACACAUCGGGAGCAGACGACCUGCCUCGCGAUGACCGACCCGAGUGUAUGGUAACUCCGUGGAGCGACUGGUCCGAGUGCUCUGUCACGUGUGGGGAAGGACUGAGUAUGCGCACCAGGGAGUACAAACUACCCGCAAAGGCGCAGAUGAUGAAUUGCAAACAGCAACUCGUCGAAAAGGUGCUGUGUGACGCCCCGCUGACGUGCGACGGCCGGCCACGGCCCGUGUCAGACCACUCCGGACUCGGGGAGCUGAGCGGCCUGUGCGCCAUGAGCUCGUGGAGCGCCUGGUCGCCGUGCUCGGUCACCUGCGGCCAGGGCUUCAGGAUGCGGAGACGGAACUACCUGGACCGUAUGGGCAGGAAGAAGUGCUUCCACGACACAGAAGAGAAGGAGAAGUGUAUGGCGGUGCAGGCCGAGUGUCCGGAGACAGAAGAGGAGGAGGUGGACAGCGCCUGCCCAGUGACCGACUGGAGUUUCUGGUCGCCGUGUUCAGUAACCUGCGGCAGCGGACAGCGGGUUCGGGCCCGGCUGCUGCUGCUCCCGGAGCGCGAGCAGGCCCAGUGUCAGCACGUGCGGCUGAUGGACAAGGGUCCCUGUGAGGCGGCCAGAAGGAGCUGCACCCUGGACAUGAUGGAGGCUAAACGUGUGUGUAUGCUGCCUCGAGAGAUGGGCCCUUGUCGCGGUAACUUCGAGCGCUGGUACUUCGAGCCGAUGAAGGGCAUGUGCGUGAGGUUCGUCUACGGAGGCUGCCGCGGAAACCAGAACAACUUCGAGACGUUUGAGGACUGCCAGACAUCCUGCUCAGUGGUGGCUGGCGGCGGCGGCGGCUCCCCUGCCGCCCAUAACCUGGUGUCGACUGCCCCCGAGCCUGUGGACUGCAUGGUCACCCCGUGGCUGCCCUGGGAGCCCUGUGACCGCACCUGUGGCCGCCGUGGCUCCGGCAGACAGCGGCGCGUCAGACGCAUCAAGGUCCACCCGAGGAAUGGGGGCCGUCGGUGUCCCCGUCGCAUGGAGCGUUAUCGACGCUGUCGUAACCUGCCACCCUGUAUCUAAAAUCACCCGACAAACAGCGCUGUGGAGUCAGAACGUGACCGUGAGGGAACAGCGUCGACAUGCCAGCACAUUCGUCCGUGCGCGCCCAGUAAACAGGCGACUGAGACGGCAAACUGUGAAGAACGAGGAUGAUUGAGAAACAUGACCAAGCGCAAGUCGCGCGCGUGAUAGGCGAUCUUUUUUCAUAUGUAGGUACUUCGGGUCUUGCUAGUUGGCUGUAUAUGUAAUUCAUUGCAAUGCUGCAUUUGAUUAUACCUACGUCAUAUUCAUAUACCAAGAUGGCAACAGCUACAAGCUUGCAAGCUCUAGAGUAGUGGCGAACUGUCGAAAACAAUGACGACUUCUACGGUUUAUGGUAAUGCGACGCAAGACGCAACAUUAACCGCACGUUUUUUUAUGAACGGAGAGGUGGUUUACUGCGUGACUUAAUGCAAGCUAUUACAUUUGCAUUUAAUAAAGCGCACGCCAUCGCCCCAAUAAAAAUGUUGCUGCCAGAGAAGUUAAUCGUUGCCAAUAUAAAACCGCCACCAAUCCA